rnacentral:tRNA from 1 species
GGCCUCGUGGUCUAGUGGUAUGAUUCUCGCUUCCGGGUGCGAGAGGUCCCGGGUUCGAUUCCCGGUGAGGCCC